AGAGUUUGAGCCUGGCUCAGAAUCAACGCUGGCGGCGCGCUUAACACAUGCAAGUCGAACGAGAAAGCGGGGGCAACCUCGUGAGUAAAGUGGCGUACGGGUGAGUAACACGUGGGUAAUCUACCUCUUGGUGUGGAAUAACGCUGGGAAACCGGCGCUAAUACCGCAUAAGCUCGGGAGAGGAAAGCAGCAAUGCGCCGAGAGAGGAACCCGCGGCCGAUUAGCUAGUUGGUGAGGUAACGGCCCACCAAGGCAAAGAUCGGUAGCCGGCCUGAGAGGGCACACGGCCACACUGGCACUGAAACACGGGCCAGACUCCUACGGGAGGCAGCAGUGGGGAAUCUUGCACAAUGGGGGCAACCCUGAUGCAGCGACGCCGCGUGAGCGAUGAAGCCCUUCGGGGUG
rnacentral:rRNA from 1 species